rnacentral:rRNA from 1 species
GCUCAAAUUUGAAAUCUUCAAGGUUUUACCUUGACGAAUUGUAGUUUAAAGAAGUGUUUUCUGUUGGUGUUUUGGUAAAAGUUCUUUGGAAUAGGACAUCAUAGAGGGUGAGAAUCCCGUAUUUGACCAUUACUUCCAGCGUUGUGAUACACUUUCAAAGAGUCGGAUUGUUCGGGAAUGCAGUCCAAAAUGGGUGGUAAAUUUCAUCUAAAGCUAAAUAUUGGCGAGAGACCGAUAGCGAACAAGUACCGUGAGGGAAAGAUGAAAAGAACUUUGAAGAGAGAGUUAAACAGUACGUGAAAUUGUCAAAAGGGAAGCGUUUGACACCAGUGUUGUUUUCUCGAAAAUCAAUUAAAAAAAGUUGGAUUUUGUAUUGUUAAGACCUUAUCAGCUUACUGUACUCUUUUCUUGCCUUUUUUAAUGCACUUUUCGUUUAACAAG